rnacentral:rRNA from 1 species
GACGAACCGUGCGAACGUUAUUCGGAAUCACUGGGCUUAAAGGGUGCGUAGGCGGGUUGCCAAGUCUGUGGUGAAAUCCUCCGGCUUAACCGGAGAACUGCCGUGGAUACUGGCGACCUCGAGGGGUGUAGGGGCUUGCGGAACUGUGCGUGGAGCGGUGAAAUGCGUUGAUAUGCACAGGAACUCCGGUGGCGAAAGCGGCUGCCUGGCCGAGUCCUGACGCUGAGACGCGACGGCGUGGGGAGCAAACCGG